rnacentral:rRNA from 1 species
AUGGUGGUGAAGCUUAAAGAUGACAGAUGGGAGGUUAUCACUUUUAUUGCAGAUCAUAACCAUCCACUGAUUGAGAAGCCAUCGCUUUCGAUAUACCUCUGUUCUCACCAAGGAAUCCCGCCGGAACAGAAAAAACUACUGACUCACCUAAAUGACUGCAACUUGACAGCAGGAAAAAUGAUGAUGUUAAUGUCAUCAUACUACGGCUCGGAGUUGAUUGUUCCGUACGCAGCUAAAGCCAUCCAUAACCACUGUUCAAAGCUCAACGCCCCAACUAAAGACAUUGACAUUGAAGAAGCACUAAACUACUUUUGCAAGGUGAUGGAAAAUGACCCAGGAUUUUUCUUUAAAUGCAAGACAGAUGCGGAAGGCAGGACAGAAAACUUGUUUUGGGUGGAUGGUGCGGCACGGAAAGCAUACGCGGAGGCUUAUCAUGAUUGCGUGUCAUUUGAUGCAACUUACCUCACGAACAUGUACAACAUGCCGUUUGCCCCCUUCAUUGGAAUCAACAGACAUGGGCAGUCAAUAAUGCUCGGGUGUGGAUUUGUCCGGCAGGAACUAGCCUCAAGUUAUGACUGGUUAUUUGAUGCUUUCCUAGAAGCAAUGGAUGGUUUGGCUCCGGACAACAUCAUCACGGACCAAGAUGUUGCUAUGUCACAAUCUAUCAAGAGGAAGUUCCCGGAAACGAUUCACCGUUGCUGCCGUUGGCAUAUAAUGAAGAAAGCACAAGAGAAGCUUGGCCCCGUGUUGGCUAGGAACCCGGAUUUGGUAAAAGACUUCAAUGAAUGCAUUGACUUCAGUUUCAGCCCGGUUGAGUUUGAAAGGAAAUGGGUUGCACUUCAAUUGAAAUAUGAAGGUCUUAUGCAUGGUCACUUUGAGAAACUCUAUGAAGAUCGGGCUACAUGGGUGCUGUGUUACUUCAAAUUCAGGUUCUUCCCUUUCCUUUAG